rnacentral:rRNA from 1 species
AGGGAGCUUGCUUCCUCAAUCGAGUGGCGAACGGGUGAGUAACGCGUGAGGAACCUGCCUCAAAGAGGGGGACAACAGUUGGAAACGACUGCUAAUACCGCAUAAGCCCACGACCCGGCAUCGGGUUGAGGGAAAAGGAGCAAUCCGCUUUGAGAUGGCCUCGCGUCUGAUUAGCUAGUUGGUGAGAUAACAGCCCACCAAGGCGACGAUCAGUAGCCGACCUGAGAGGGUGACCGGCCACAUUGGGACUGAGACACGGCCCAGACUCC